AGCAGAAAUUUGCAGAUUUUAACAGAUGUUUUGUGAAGGUCAGCUGUUUUAUGAAAAGCAGCUGUUACAUGAAAAUACAAAAGCUAACACCAAAAUGGAUCAAAAAGGCUAACACCAAAAUGGAUAAUGAAGAUUCAAAGCAGCAGCCAGAGUUUAGGUAUAAAAAAAUUGGGCAAAUGGUGUAAUUUUAUCUCAAGUGGGUUGUUAUACAUUAGAAGACACCAAGAAAAUUGCUAUUAUCGGUUUCUUAAGUGUUUCGAUGGAAUCAUCCUCAUCGGUGAACUACGAUGAAACCAACAUCGUUCCUUUCAAUUUAUUAAGUAGGGAAGAUGCUGCCAUGGCAUUGAGUGGGUCUGGAUGGGCAGUUAAACAAAGUGUCCGUAGCCGCCAUAUAGCCACAUAUCCACAAUAUCCAGAAGCAUUAAAUGGUUAGUUCAAGGUUUCUUUGUCAGUACAACAAGUGCUGCCGAUAAGGGACUUGAGAACGUUGUUUCUACUUUUGUGUACGGUGAUGGCGUGCAAACCAGUUGUAGUCCUAUGCAGCCUUCGUAAUUCAUGCUGAUGCUCGGAUGGAAAUUGUCCAACGAGAGGAUCGGCAGCAGUAGUACCUCGUAAGAUAAGGGAGAUCGGCCUGUACAACUACCCCUUGCUCGUGUCCUUUCCAAGUUUCAGUAGUGGGAUCACACUGCCCAUCUUCCAAACAUCGGGUACUAUAAUAGUGUUCAGACAGGCUGAGGACAGUUGCAUGGUACUCGAUUCCAGGCAGAUCCAUAUUCUUCAGCAUCAGUGUAGAGAUCCCGUCUGGAAUCAGCGCCACGACUUGGCGUCACGGACGACAUUCGUAGUUUCGGCUUGGAGAUCACGGGUCAAUAAAUUGACUUUUAUCUAAGGAAAAUACCUCACAAGUAUCGCCAGCAUUUUUUUAAUUUAAAACAAUUGUUUUUCUAAACAAGCAAAUAAAAAACAAAUCAAA